rnacentral:rRNA from 1 species
GACGAACGCUGGCGGCGUGCUUAACACAUGCAAGUCGAACGGAAAGGCCCGGCUUUGGGGGGGUGCGCGAGUGGCGAACGGGGGAGUAACACGUGAGUAACCUGUCCUUGACUGAGGGAUAACUUCAGGAAACUGGGGCUAAUACCGGAUAGGAGCUCCUGCUGCAUGGUGGGGGUUGGAAAGAUUCGGCUGUUGGGGAUGGACUCGCGGCUCAUGGGGUUGAUCGAUGGGUAGUGGCUUACGAAGGCUUUGACAGGUAGCAUGCCUGAGCGGGUCACCGGCCACAUUGGGCCUGAGCUACGACCCAGACCACUCCCGGAGGCAACACAGCAGAAUAUUGCAUAAUGCGCGGGGCCCUGGUCUGGCACCGCAACGUCCCGGAUGACAGCCUUCGCGUUGUGAACCACUUUCGCCUGUGCCGAAGCGUUAAUGACGGUACUGGGUAAAGAAGCACCGGCUAACUCCGUG